rnacentral:rRNA from 1 species
CUGGCGGCGUGCCUAAUACAUGCAAGUCGAGCGAACGGACGAGAAGCUUGCUUCUCUGAUGUUAGCGGCGGACGGGUGAGUAACACGUGGAUAACCUACCUAUAAGACUGGGAUAACUUCGGGAAACCGGAGCUAAUACCGGAUAAUAUUUUGAACCGCAUGGUUCAAAAGUGAAAGACGGUCUUGCUGUCACUUAUAGAUGGAUCCGCGCUGCAUUAGCUAGUUGGUAAGGUAACGGCUUACCAAGGCAACGAUGCAUAGCCGACCUGAGAGGGUGAUCGGCCACACUGGAACUGAGACACGGUCCAGACUCCUACGGGAGGCAGCAGUAGGGAAUCUUCCGCAAUGGGCGAAAGCCUGACGGAGCAACGCCGCGUGAGUGAUGAAGGUCUUCGGAUCGUAAAACUCUGUUAUUAGGGAAGAACAUAUGUGUAAGUAACUGUGCACAUCUUGACGGUACCUAAUCAGAAAGCCACGGCUAACUACGUGCCAGCAGCCGCGGUAAUACGUAGGUGGCAAGCGUUAUCCGGAAUUAUUGGGCGUAAAGCGCGCGUAGGCGGUUUUUUAAGUCUGAUGUGAAAGCCCACGGCUCAACCGUGGAGGGUCAUUGGAAACUGGAAAACUUGAGUGCAGAAGAGGAAAGUGGAAUUCCAUGUGUAGCGGUGAAAUGCGUAGAUAUAUGGAGGAACACCGGUGGCGAAAGCGGCUCUCUGGUCUGUAACUGACGCUGAGGCUCGAAAGCGU